GGCUACUUCUUGCCCAAGUCCCGCCUCGGGCCUGAGACCCACGUGACACCCUGGCUAUCCGGGGAUUGGUUGUUCGGCGAGGGCCGCAAUGGGCGUUGGGAUGGCCGAGGGGCAGCGAGGAGACAGGGAGUGGGAAGUUGGCGAGAGUGUCGCUGGCGACCAAAGAGAGGCAGCUAUCUUGCCCCGCUAGCCCGGGCCGACCUUAGGAGAGCCAGGGAGGUGGAGUUUUAAGAAUUCGGAAAGCGGCCUGCGGACUCCUGCCUGCGCCUUUGGUUUGAACCCGGGUUCGGGCCUUCCUCGUGCUCCCCUGCAGGACGGCCGCUCGCAGGCUUUCCUGAAGCCCCUGGGGUCUGGACCUUGCCCUUAGCCUUUUUAAGGGUCCACCCGAUGCUCGAAUUGUUUGUUCAGGGCGGUGCAGAGCUCCACGAGGUAGAAGCUGGGGGGUGGGGGGCUUGCGAUGCUCGAGGCAUGUUCGGACCUUAGUGAAACAUUGGAGGUUGAGGGACCAUAUUUCACUGCAUAAAUGUUGCCACUGCAUAAUCGUCACACCAUUUUGUUCAGUCCCAAAUUUGGUUUAUAGUCUUUCAACAUGAAGUCAACACAUGGUAUCAUUCUGAUCAUCAUACUGCUUUAUAAGCCCAUGGAAGUAGUUACUAGCUUACUUCUUAAGAGGAAGAUAAUGCUGAAAGGAACAGUUUUCCCUAGGAAUUCAUGUCCGAGUGCAAACAAAAGAUUGAAUGGAUUUGGAACUCAUGGUGGACUAGAUUAAAACUAUAUGGAACAGAAGACUGGAUGUACUACUGAAAGAACCGGCUCUCAUUUUACCAAUUUCCAAGGUCACAUUAUGAACAAAAUAAAGCAACUUCUCCAUGAAAAUAGGACACUCCCAGUAAUCUAACACCUAUCUUGCAGCCACUGGAUACAGGUGCAUAUAAGCCCUUAAAAGAUCAUCUGCACUGUUUUUGCAAUGAGUGGAUGAGCAGUGAUGAACACUUAUUGACACCAGCUGGAAAGAUUAAGCAUCCGUCCUUGGAACUACUAUGCACACGAGUUAUUGAGAGUUGGGACCUUACACUACACAAAACAACCAUCAGAAGCUUCAAAAAAGACAGGAAUUUCAAAUACGCUAGAUAGAGCUAAAGAUGAUGCACUGUGGCAGAGUGAGGAAAUAAACCUAUCUUAUGAGUGGUGAUAAGGACUGCCUGUCAGGUAAUGAAACCAGUGAUAGUGCAGAAUCUUCAGACACACAUUAGAUUCUGCAAAUCAGUACUUCGUAAUACUGUAAUAAAUUUUCUUGUGUAAUAUUUUGACUAAUGCACAAAUCAGUAGCAAAUAUGUUGACCUUUUUUUGGGGGGGCAGAUUGGGAAAAGUCUUCACUAAACUCUCAGGAAGAAAUGAUGUGUAUUGAUUUGGACUAUUCUGUUUUAACGUAUAUUCAUGAGUAUUCCAUGCAUUCUAAUCUUGCACCAAAGACAAAUAUUUUAAAUAAGACAAGCAUACUUAAAAAAACAAUGUUCACACUCCCACUUUUUUUGCAAGAAAAAAUUUGGCAUGAAGUCUGUUAUAAUUAUGGGGUGAGUCUAUGUGGUGAAAUACAGCAAACUGGUUUUGGUUACUUCACCAAGUGCUCCAUCAUGUCAGUCUUCAGUCUGUUCAAGUCCCUUAUUGACUUACUACUAUAUUAAAAAUUUUAACUGUAGUAUUUAUUGUAGUAGAAAUCCCGAGGUUCGACAAACAUUAUUACAAUGUCAUACUCCUAAUGUACUCAAAAGUGUUAAUAUUUUUAAAUCCUUAGGAUUUUCCAUUUUAAAAUAUAAUUUUAACACCUCUGGACUGUCAGAAUGUGCUAUGAAUUGCUAAGUUUAAGCCCUGAGAAACAGUACAGACAUGAAUUAUUUUCAUCCUUUCUUUAGUGAUUUUUUUUUUAAAUACUUUUUUCACAAUUCUGCUAAUUCAGUGGCAUGAAUUUUCCUACAUAGGCAAUUCAAGUGUUUCUGUAGUUUCAUUUUGUUUGGCAGGGGGCACACCCAGCAAUGCUCGGGGCUUGCUCCUGGCAGGCCUGGGUACCAUAAGGAUGCCAGGGAUAGAACCCAGGUCACCCGAUGCAGUGUAAGUGUCCCACCUGCUGUACUAUUUCUCCAGUCCACCUGUAGUAUUUCUGAUAUUAGGAGUUUCACAAAAAACUAAAUUCUUAACCACUGGAGUACCAGCUUUUUCCCCUCAACUAC